UGGUGUAAACAAAGCCCAUCGAAGAAGAAAGAGUGUUUUGGGCCAUCUUCAACCGCCGAUAACGCCUAUUUUCAUCAGCGAUUUCGUUGAUGAAUCUUAUUUGAGAUUAGAAAUAUUAAGCGAUGGAUGCCUGUCUGAUAAUGCUUCAUAGUGCAUCUUCCAACUACAGAGAGGUCUAUGUGUGAAUGUAAAAUGUGAUUAGGAAGGAUUUAAUUAUAAUGUUAGCAUUCCAAUUGUAAUUUCACAAAUUAGAGGGUUUUGUUUCUCUAGAAUUGUGCUGAUGAAUUGGUCAUUUUGCUGGCUGCUUCAGAUUGUGCUUGAUUUAGCAGGAGACGAAGAUUUACAAUCUGUGUAUGCAACUACAGCAAUUUUCAAUGAAAGUCACAACUCUGUUUGUUUGUUUGUUUACUAGGUAUGGUUUUCUUGAGAAAUGUUUUCACGACUAUUAAAAGUAGGUCGAGCUUCAUCUGCCACUCACAAGUACAUUGUCUCAUCCCAUUUGUUCUUUGGCAUCUGUUUCUAGUUGUUUAGUUUCAAAGAAAGGUUGGCUCUGUUAUGCUUUGAAUAUGCUUUGAAUAAUAAAUCUAUUAGAGUCUGAUAUUGAAGGAGGGUCGAUUUCAUCAGCAUUUUGGUUUGAUUAUUCUACUAUUGUAAAAAGUAAAGUUGCCAUUCCUGGUAAAAGAAUCUUGUUUUAGUGGAAAAGGCUGUUUGGCAAAAAUGAGUAAAUGCAUAUUGCCAAGCUAUAUAUGAAGUAGUCGCGUUUUAAUGGUUGGCGACACGAGAAAUUACUUUCCGAUUCUUAUAUAAUACGCCAAGCCUUGUGCGUUCCAAAUUGGAAUUUAGGGUUUUUCGCCGCCACUGCUGCUAUUCCAUUUACAUAGCAGCUGAAGAGGUAAACAUUCCCCCCUAUGUUUUUCUUUCCAUUACAAUUAGUCUGUUUGAUCUUCGUAUCGAAAUAACUGGUCAUCUAUUUUAUGGUUUCUUCUUUUGGAUAGAAGCUUGGAAUCGGAGAUUUUGUUCACUUCUUACCGAGAGGUUUUGAUACGAGGGUGCUCGUAUCGGUCCCGGCAGCGCGAGGUUGCCGGAGAAGGGUUAGGUUCGUUCGCGGGAUCCUCCCAUCGAGCAGCCUAGGGUUCUCGGUCAAUUAAGGCCGUUAUUUGAAAAAAUGUAACAAGCGAAAAUGGAAGAAGGAAAUGGGGUCGAUCACUUUGCUCGCAUCACAGAGGAACUACUCUCGUUGAUAUUAAGCCAGUUUGAAAAGCUAAAGCAUCAGUGUGGAUAGUCCCUUCCCUUGUCUCGAAGCGUUUUGCUUUGGCUAUUUAUGAAAAGAAAUCUGUGAAUUUGACUCUUCCAAGUACUACACACUCAGCUGAUGAAAUCUGUGAACUUCUCCCUAAGCUGGCAGACGUCAAACUGGUUCUUCUCUGAUUUGAUUUUAUGAUAAUUUGGUUUAAUUGGCAAAAAUGAGUAAAUGCAUAUUGAGAAGCCAUGUAUGAAGCAGUCAUGUUUUAAUGGAAGACAACACGAGAUAUGACCUUCAAAUCUUAUAUAAAUAUUCCAAAUUUUAUUACGGAA